rnacentral:precursor_RNA from 10 species
AUAGUUUUAAAAACAUUUCUGUUCUCAUUUUGAAACUUGCGUGGAACGGGCCACUCUGCCAGGCCGUUGUAAACAUGUUUCGAAAUGCGUUUGAGAUCUUUUACACCUAGCCCC